GUCUACGGCCAUACCACCCUGAACGCUCCCGAUCUCGUCUGAUCUUGGAAGCUAAGCAGGGUCGGGCCUGACUUGAAUGGGAGACUAAAAACUAUAAGAAAUUGUAUAAA
rnacentral:rRNA from 1 species